CUACAUGAAGCUGGAAUCGCUAGUAAUCGCGAAUCAGAAUGUCGCGGUGAAUACGUUCCCGGGUCUUGUACACACCGCCCGUCACACCAUGGGAGUUGGAAAUGCCCGAAGCCGGUGACCGAACCUUAGGGACGGAGCCGUCGAAGGUGGAGCCAAUGACUGGGGUGAAGUCGUAACAAGGUAAC
rnacentral:rRNA from 1 species